AGUGAACGCUGGCGGCAGGCCUAACACAUGCAAGUCGAACGGCAGCACAGUAAGAGCUUGCUCUUACGGGUGGCGAGUGGCGGACGGGUGAGGAAUACAUCGGAAUCUACUUUUUCGUGGGGGAUAACGUAGGGAAACUUACGCUAAUACCGCAUACGACCUACGGGUGAAAGCAGGGGAUCUUCGGACCUUGCGCGAUUGAAUGAGCCGAUGUCGGAUUAGCUAGUUGGCGGGGUAAAGGCCCACCAAGGCGACGAUCCGUAGCUGGUCUGAGAGGAUGAUCAGCCGCACUGGAACGGAGACACGGUCCAGACUCCUACGGGAGGCAGCAGUGGGGAAUAUUGGACAGUGGGCGCAAGCCUGAUCCAGCCAUACCGCGUGGGUGAAGAAGGCCUUCGGGUUGUAAAGCCCUUUUGUUGGGAAAGAAAAGCAGCAGGUUAAUACCCCGCUGUUCUGACGGUACCCAAAGAAUAAGCACCGGCUAACUUCGUG
rnacentral:rRNA from 1 species